CGCAUGGUAGGAGAGCGUUCCGUAAGCCUGCGAAGGUGCCUUGUAAAGGGUGCUGGAGGUAUCGGAAGUGCGAAUGCUGACAUGAGUAGCGAUAAAGGGGGUGAAAGGCCCCCUCGCCGUAAGCCCAAGGUUUCCUACGCAACGUUCAUCGGCGUAGGGUGAGUCGGCCCCUAAGGCGAGGCAGAAAUGCGUAGCUGAUGGGAAGCAGGUCAAUAUUCCUGCACCGUCGUUAGAUGCGAUGGGGGGACGGAUCGCGGAAGGUUGUCCGGGUGUUGGAAGUCCCGGUCGCUGCAUUGGAGAAGGCGCUUAGGCAAAUCCGGGCGCAGGAUUCAAGGGUGUGGCGCGAGCGACUUAGGUCGCGAAGCAAUUGGAAGUGGUUCCAAGAAAAGCCUCUAAGCUUCAGUCUAACGAUGACCGUACCGCAAACCGACACAGGUGGGCGAGAUGAGUAUUCUAAGGCGCUUGAGAGAACUCGGGAGAAGGAACUCGGCAAAUUGGUACCGUAACUUCGGGAUAAGGUACGCCCUUGUAGCUUGACCAGCCUGCGCUGGAAGGGUGAAGGGGUUGCAAUAAACUGGUGGCUGCGACUGUUUAAUAAAAACACAGCACUCUGCAAACACGAAAGUGGACGUAUAGGGUGUGACGCCUGCCCGGUGCCGGAAGAUUAAAUGAUGGGGUGCAAGCUCUUGAUUGAAGUCCCGGUAAACGGCGGCCGUAACUAUAACGGUCCUAAGGUAGCGAAAUUCCUUGUCGGGUAAGUUCCGACCUGCACGAAUGGCGUAACGAUGGCCACACUGUCUCCUCCCGAGACUCAGCGAAGUUGAAGUGUUUGUGAUGAUGCAAUCUACCCGCGGCUAGACGGAAAGACCCCAUGAACCUUUACUGUAGCUUUGCAUUGGACUUUGAACCGAUCUGUGUAGGAUAGGUGGGAGGCUAUGAAACCGGAACGCUAGUUUCGGUGGAGCCGUCCUUGAAAUACCACCCUGGUUUGUUUGAGGUUCUAACCUUGGCCCGUGAUCCGGGUCGGGGACAGUGCAUGGUAGGCAGUUUGACUGGGGCGGUCUCCUCCCAAAGCGUAACGGAGGAGUACGAAGGUACGCUAGGUACGGUCGGAAAUCGUGCUGAUAGUGCAAUGGCAUAAGCGUGCUUAACUGCGAGACCGACAAGUCGAGCAGGUGCGAAAGCAGGUCAUAGUGAUCCGGUGGUUCUGUAUGGAAGGGCCAUCGCUCAACGGAUAAAAGGUACUCUGGGGAUAACAGGCUGAUACCGCCCAAGAGUUCAUAUCGACGGCGGUGUUUGGCACCUCGAUGUCGGCUCAUCUCAUCCUGGGGCUGUAGCCGGUCCCAAGGGUAUGGCUGUUCGCCAUUUAAAGAGGUACGUGAGCUGGGUUUAAAACGUCGUGAGACAGUUUGGUCCCUAUCUGCCGUGGGCGUUGGAUAUUUGAAGGGGGCUGCUCCUAGUACGAGAGGACCGGAGUGGACGAACCUCUGGUGUACCGGUUGUGACGCCAGUCGCAUCGCCGGGUAGCUAUGUUCGGAAGAGAUAACCGCUGAAAGCAUCUAAGCGGGAAACUCGCCUUAAGAUGAGAUAUCCCUGGAGGCUUGACCUCCUUGAAGGGUCGUUCGAGACCAGGACGUUGAUAGGUCAGGUGUGUAAGCGCAGUAAUGCGUUCAGCUAACUGAUACUAAUUGCCCGUAAGGCUUGAUCCUAUAAC
rnacentral:rRNA from 1 species